rnacentral:rRNA from 1 species
GUCUAUGGCCAUAGCACCCUGAAAGCACCUAAUCUCAUCUGAUAUCAGAAGCUAAGCAGGGUUGGGUCUGGUUAAUACUUGGAUGGAAACCAAUCACCAAAGAAA